UACGGAGGGUGCGAGCGUUAAUCGGAAUAACUGGGCGUAAAGGGCACGCAGGCGGGCUUUUAAGUGGAAUGUGGAAGCCCCGGGCUUAACUUGGGAAUAGCAUUUCAGACUGGGAGUCUAGAGUACUUUAGGGAGGGGUAGAAUUCCACGUGUAGCGGUGAAAUGCGUAGAGAUGUGGAGGAAUACCGAAGGCGAAGGCAGCCCCGUAGGAAUGUACUGACGCUCAUGUGCGAAAGCGUGGGGAGCAAACAGG
rnacentral:rRNA from 1 species